rnacentral:rRNA from 1 species
CACGUAGUUAGCCGUGGCUUAUUCAAGGGGUACCGUCUUCCGCUCUUCCCCCUUAAAAGAAGUUUACAACCCGAAAGCCUUCUUCCUUCACGCGGCGUUGCUGGGUCAGACUUGCGUCCAUUGCCCAAUAUUCCCCACUGCUGCCUCCCGUAGGAGUCUGGGGCCGUAUCUCAGUCCCAAUGUGGCCGGCCAACCUCUCAGUCCGGCUACUGAUCGUCGCCUUGGUGGGCCGUUACCUCACCAACUAGCUAAUCAGACGCGAGGCCAUCUUCCAGCGAUAAAUCUUUGACGUCAGAGUCAUGCGGCUCCAACGCAUCAUGCGGUAUUAGCAGUCGUUUCCAACUGUUGUCCCCCUCUGGAAGGCAGGUUCCUCACGCGUUACUCACCAGUCCGCCACUAAGCAUUCCCAUCCGUUGUCCGAAAACUCCUUCAGGGGUGCUCCGUUCGACUUGCAUGUGUUAAGCACGCCGCCAGCGUUCGUCUCGAGCCAGGAUCAAACUCU